UAGGGAAUAUUGGACAAUGGGCGAAAGCCUGAUCCAGCAAUGCCGCGUGAGCGAUGAAGGCCUUAGGGUUGUAAAGCUCUUUUACCCGAGAAGAUAAUGACGGUAACCGGAGAAGAAGCCCCGGCUAACUUCAUGCCAGCAGCCGCGGUAAUACGAAGGGGGCUAGCGUUGUUCGGAUUUACUGGGCGUAAAGCGCACGUAGGCGGACUUUUAAGUCAGGGGUGAAAUCCCAGAGCUCAACUCUGGAACUGCCUUUGAUACUGGAAGUCUUGAGUAUGGUAGAGGUGAGUGGAAUUCCGAGUGUAGAGGUGAAAUUCGUAGAUAUUCGGGGGAACACCAGUGGCGAAGGCGGCUCACUGGACCAUUACUGACGCUGAGGUGCGAAAGCGUGGGGAGCAAACAGGAUUAGAUACC
rnacentral:rRNA from 1 species